GCCUCUAGAGGUCAAAGGGCUCCUGGCCAGCAAGGACACUAGCAAGACCCAGCUACAAGUACUACUCACUAUAGACCUUCUUCCCAUUUGGCCUGGAAGUAACAACAACAGCAUCUAAGGAAUUAGAGGAGCAAGGGUGUGGGGCGGGGACAGAGACAUGGGCAGAGUUGGGAGGGAGGGUGAACAGAUACAUUGUUUGAAACAGACUUUAAAAAGGUGAUCUUGUGGGGAAGGAGAGGUGGCUCAGCAGCUGAGAGCACGGGCUGCUCACUCCAAUGAUGACUCACAACCACCUGUAUCCCAGCUCCAGGGAAUCUGAGCCCUCUUGUGAUCUCCAUGGGCUUCUCAUGUACCUGAAGAGGCCAGAAGAGGGGGGGCUGAAUCCCCUAUAGCCAGAUUACAAUGUUGAGAGCUUCCUGACACAAGUGCUGGGACUCUGCAAGAACAACAAACCCCCUUAACCACUGAGCCGUCUGUCCAGUCCCAAAGCCAUGAAAUGCUCUGCUCUCUUCUCUUUUCCUUGCUGUACCCCGGGGUUGGAGGAACACAGGCCUCCCGAGGUCCCAGGAUUCAGCCUUACUGGACUACCAUCUCUUUCCAAAGGCAGGGCAUGGGGACCAGGAAUGAGAGCAGCCCCAGUUACAGCAGCAAAAGAUGGCUGAACAGAGCUAGGCAAGCCUGUAACUGUGGCCUCCGGGAAGCAGAAACAGAAGACCUGUAAGUUCAAGGCCAGAAAAUAAGAAAGAAUAAAGAAAGAAUAACCCACAUCGAUAAGGACCUGGUUACAGAAACUGUAACCACGAGACACUAUCCAGCAAACAAGAACCACAGCAACACGCAUCCCCACGGGCCGCAGGCGCUGUGCUGACCUUCCUGCAAGUUUCCUCUGUUCAUUUUCUGUUAUGAAAAUAAAUUACAAAGCCAGUCUAGGUUACAUAGUGAGUUCCAGGCUAUCCAGACUGGCAUGGUCUCAAUUAGUAAGUAAGUAAGUAAGUAAGUAAGUAAAUAAAUAAAUAAAUAAAAGUGAAAAACUAAAAUGCACUUUUAAAGAUGUUUCUAAGGGAGAGCAGACAGGAUGGAGCUGCAACUCAGAGCUCUUGGCUGGUACUUGUGAGAACUUUAUUUCAAUC